UUCUUUUACUGAUACUUUGAAUGGAUCGCAGAAACUUCCAAGUUUGUAUCACAAUUUACAGAAUCAGUUUGACUUUACUUCUAGCCCGACUCGAAGCGAUCACGACUGUCUCGAUGAUUUUAUUGAUCGAGCUCUGCAGUUUCGACUGGCGACGCCUCAAAAGUUUAUUUCUACUGGCGCUUCCCUCCAUCAAUUUCUUGAAUUUCAGCACUUCCCAUUGGAUUGGUCUUUGAAAAAGAAAGUUAUUUUUUCAAGUUUUGAGC